rnacentral:rRNA from 1 species
UACAGAGGGUGCGAGCGUUGUCCGGAAUUACUGGGCGUAAAGGGCGCGUAGGCGGCUUGGUCAGUCCCGUGUGAAAUCCCUCGGCUCAACUGAGGAACUGCACGGGAAACUGCCUGGCUUGAGUUCGGGAGAGGGAAGCGGAAUUCCGGGUGUAGCGGUGAAAUGCGUAGAUAUCCGGAGGAACACCGGUGGCGAAGGCGGCUUCCUGGACCGACACUGACGCUGAGGCACGAAAGCGUGGGGAGCGAACAGG